UCCAUAUCUCUCCAUGUCUGCACUUGAGGAGUAUAAUCUUAAAAACAAGUCAACACGUUCCUAUAUCUUCCAAUUAUUUAAUUCUCUACCAACUAAAAUGUUCUAUAAGAACUUCAAUUGAUUUGGAUAUUGCAAUGCCUACAAGGAUUAGCACAUGGAUACAUUGCAUUAAUUUCAGAAAAAUCAGUCUGGAUAGAUUAAUAUAUAAUUCAGAGCAAACUGCCCAAAGAAAAUAAAUAUAUCUAAAUGAUGCAACUACAGAAGUGCUGGAGGUGACAAUACAUUACAUGAUCCUAAGUGGCUGAAUUGCAGCAUGAUUGCCAGGGGAAGAUGACAUCAUGGUCAGUUUUGCACCAUCAUCAUUAAUUGAGAACCAUGCACUUUUAAGUCACUAGCUAGCUUCUCAAAAGGGUAGAGAUGUGGCAAUGUAAGUUGA
rnacentral:misc_RNA from 1 species